GAUGAACGCUGGCGGCGUGCUUAACACAUGCAAGUCGUACGGUAAGGCCCUUUCGGGGGUACACGAGUGGCGAACGGGUGAGUAACGCGUGAGUAACCUGCCCACAACUUUGGGAUAACGCUAGGAAACUGGUGCUAAUACUGGAUAUGUGCUCCUGCUGCAUGGUGGGGGUUGGAAAGCUCCGGCGGUUGUGGAUGGACUCGCGGCCUAUCAGCUUGUUGGUGGGGUAGUGGCCUACCAAGGCGGCGACGGGUAGCCGGCCUGAGAGGGUGACCGGCCACAUUGGGACUGAGAUACGGCCCAGACUCCUACGGGAGGCAGCAGUGGGGAAUAUUGCACAAUGGGCGCAAGCCUGAUGCAGCAACGCCGCGUGCGGGAUGACGGCCUUCGGGUUGUAAACCGCUUUCAGCAGGGACGAAGCUUUUUGUGACGGUACCUGCAGAAGAAGCACCGGCUAACUACGUG
rnacentral:rRNA from 1 species